rnacentral:rRNA from 1 species
CCCUUAGAUGUUCUGGGCCGCACGCGCGCUACACUGACGAAUGCAACGAGCUUAUAACCUUGGCCGAAAGGUCUGGGUAAUCUCCAAAUUUCGUCGUGAUGGGGAUAGAUUAUUGCAAUUAUUAAUCUUCAACGAGGAAUGCCUAGUAAGCGCAAGUCAUCAGCUUGCGUUGAUUACGUCCCUGCCCUUUGUACACACCGCCCGUCGCUCCUACCGAUUGAAUGGUCCGGUGAAGCGUUCGGACCGUGGCCUUUGGACGGUUCGCCGUCUGUUGGCUGCGGGAAGUUCGUUAAACCUUAUCAUUUAAAGGAAGGAGAAGUCGUAACA